rnacentral:rRNA from 1 species
CGCCUGUUUAUUAAAAACAUGGUUUUUUAUAUUAAAUAAAAAAUUUAACCUGCCCAUUGAAUUAAUAUUUUAAAAGGCUGCAGUAUUAUGACUGUACAAAGGUAGCAUAAUCAUUAGAUUUUUAAUUGAAAUCUGGAAUGAAUGGUUGAAUGAAAUAUAGACUUUUUUAUUUUUAAAAUUUUUAAUUUUAAUUAUUAGUUAAAAUUCUAAUAUUAUAUUUUGGGACGAGAAGACCCUAUAGAAUUUUAUAUUUAAAUUUUAUAUUUAUUUUUUAAUAUUUUAUUUUAUAAAUAAAAUUAAAAUAUUAAAUUGGGGUGAUUUUAAAAUUUUUAAACUUUUUUUAAUAAAUUUCAAAAUUAAUUGUUUAUUUGAUCUUUUUAUAUUGAUUAAUAAAUUAAAUUACCUUAGGGAUAACAGCAUAAUAUUUUUAAAGAGUUCUUAUUUUUAAAAUAAAUUAUGACCUCGAUGUUGGAUUAAAAUUAUUUUUAUAUGAAGAAAUAUAAAAAAUUAGUCUGUUCGACUA